rnacentral:rRNA from 1 species
UAAACGACUCUCGGCAACGGAUAUCUCGGCUCUCGCAUCGAUGAAGAACGUAGCGAAAUGCGAUACUUGGUGUGAAUUGCAGAAUCCCGUGAACCAUCGAGUCUUUGAACGCAAGUUGCGCCCGAAGCCGUUAGGCCGAGGGCACGUCUGCCUGGGCGUCACACGUCGUUGCCCCCCCGACCCCUUCGGGGGCCGGACGGGACGGAUGAUGGCCUUCCCGUGUGCCCCGUCACGCGGUUGGCAUAAAUACCGA